AGCCUGUUUUCCCCACUCUUGUCAUUUUAAGUCAAUAGAUUUCCUGGGUUUCUUCCCCCGCCCCCCCACUUUGCCUUUUCAGGGGAUAGGCAUCUCCUUAGAUUUUUGUUUUUCUUCACUUAGGGUCAGCUUUAUGAUUCGUUCUUCUGCUGUCAUCCUUUUUCAUCCUAUUCACAGCCUGUACCGGUGAGGGAAUUUGUCUCAAAAGCAUUCAGCCCUUCAAAGAUUUUUAUUGUGGUGAACUCAGAACUGAUAAACAGAAAAACAGAAACAGAAAAAGGGAACUGAUAUGGGGGCGAUCUUGAUGCGGGUUGUGUCUCUCAUGCAUGAUAACUCAGAGGACAGGCUCCUCGGUAGUGCGGUAGUGCUAACUCUGUGAAGUUUCUUCACCCUCCUUCCUAGCCCUGGAGGCGGGGUGAUUCAUAGCUCCUGUUCCAAAGGCAUUCAGCAGCCAUUCGACCUGGGAAAGAAACAGAGUUUUAGAAAAUACAGGCCAAAUGUAGAGACGCCUGUGAUUACCAGGAUGAGUAUGUCAGUGCAGGUGGCUUCUGAAUUUCUGUUUCUGAGUUUGUUUGGCUGAUGCCUAAGGAAAGGGGUCCCUUACAGCCCUGUUUUAUACCUUAGUUCUUGGUGGCAACGUGGGUGUUGCUGAUCUCUCUGAUGUGUUUUUCUGUGCACUGAAAACACCAGACAUGCUCCGUGACAUCCUCGGAGCAUCUCCCAUCAUAAUGGAGUGUUCCUAACCUGACAAAGAAUAGCAUAUUACCUCCCCAUCUACUCAAAAUAAAAUUAUAGUAAAAUUUA
rnacentral:lncRNA from 1 species